rnacentral:rRNA from 1 species
CUGGAGGUAUCAGAAGUGCGAAUGCUGACAUAAGUAACGAUAAAGCGGGUGAAAAGCCCGCUCGCCGGAAGACCAAGGGUUCCUGUCCAACGUUAAUCGGGGCAGGGUGAGUCGACCCCUAAGGCGAGGCCGAAAGGCGUAGUCGAUGGGAAACAGGUUAAUAUUCCUGUACUUGGUGUUACUGCGAAGGGGGGACGGAGAAGGCUAUGUUGGCCGGGCGACGGUUGUCCCGGUUUAAGCGUGUAGGCUGGUUUUCCAGGCAAAUCCGGAAAAUCAAGGCUGAGGCGUGAUGACGAGGCACUACGGUGCUGAAGCAACAAAUGCCCUGCUUCCAGGAAAAGCCUCUAAGCAUCAGGUAACAUCAAAUCGUACCCCAAACCGACACAGGUGGUCAGGUAGAGAAUACCAAGGCGCUUGAGAGAACUCGGGUGAAGGAACUAGGCAAAAUGGUGCCGUAACUUCGGGAGAAGGCACGCUGAUAUGUAGGUGAAGCGACUUGCUCGUGGAGCUGAAAUCAGUCGAAGAUACCAGCUGGCUGCAACUGUUUAUUAAAAACACAGCACUGUGCAAACACGAAAGUGGACGUAUACGGUGUGACGCCUGCCCGGUGCCGGAAGGUUAAUUGAUGGGGUCAGCGCAAGCGAAGCUCUUGAUCGAAGCCCCGGUAAACGGCGGCCGUAACUAUAACGGUCCUAAGGUAGCGAAAUUCCUUGUCGGGUAAGUUCCGACCUGCACGAAUGGCGUAAUGAUGGCCAGGCUGUCUCCACCCGAGACUCAGUGAAAUUGAACUCGCUGUGAAGAUGCAGUGUACCCGCGGCAAGACGGAAAGACCCCGUGAACCUUUACUAUAGCUUGACACUGAACAUUGAGCCUUGAUGUGUAGGAUAGGUGGGAGGCUUUGAAGUGUGGACGCCAGUCUGCAUGGAGCCGACCUUGAAAUACCACCCUUUAAUGUUUGAUGUUCUAACGUUGACCCGUAAUCCGGGUUGCGGACAGUGUCUGGUGGGUAGUUUGACUGGGGCGGUCUCCUCCUAAAGAGUAACGGAGGAGCACGAAGGUUGGCUAAUCCUGGUCGGACAUCAGGAGGUUAGUGCAAUGGCAUAAGCCAGCUUGACUGCGAGCGUGACGGCGCGAGCAGGUGCGAAAGCAGGUCAUAGUGAUCCGGUGGUUCUGAAUGGAAGGGCCAUCGCUCAACGGAUAAAAGGUACUCCGGGGAUAACAGGCUGAUACCGCCCAAGAGUUCAUAUCGACGGCGGUGUUUGGCACCUCGAUGUCGGCUCAUCACAUCCUGGGGCUGAAGUAGGUCCCAAGGGUAUGGCUGUUCGCCAUUUAAAGUGGUACGCGAGCUGGGUUUAGAACGUCGUGAGACAGUUCGGUCCCUAUCUGCCGUGGGCGCUGGAGAACUGAGGGGGGCUGCUCCUAGUACGAGAGGACCGGAGUGGACGCAUCACUGGUGUUCGGGUUGUCAUGCCAAUGGCACUGCCCGGUAGCUAAAUGCGGAAGAGAUAAGUGCUGAAAGCAUCUAAGCACGAAACUUGCCCCGAGAUGAGUUCUCCCUG